AGGGGUUUAGGUUGAUACUAAACCAAGAGCCUUCAAAGCCCUAAACAAAGGUGAAAGCCCUUUAACCCCUG
rnacentral:tRNA from 1 species